UACAGAGGUCUCGAGCGUUGUUCGGAUUCAUUGGGCGUAAAGGGCGCGUAGGCGGCGGGGUAAGUCUGGUGUGAAAUCUCGGAGCUCAACUCCGAAAUUGCACUGGAUACUGCUCUGCUAGAGGGCUGGAGAGGAGAUCGGAAUUCACGGUGUAGCAGUGAAAUGCGCAGAUAUCAGGAAGAACACCCGUGGCGAAGGCGGCUCUCUGGGACGGUACUGACGCUGAGACGCGAAAGCGUGGGGAGCAAACAGG
rnacentral:rRNA from 1 species